CAUGGAAGACAACAUACAGUGCUGUGCAUUUCUCAUUUUGGUCAAGUAUUGUAUAUUUAUUACUUAAGUUCUUUCGGCCAAAAGUUGAUGGACCACAGUGCAUAUGUUUUUGAGUCAAUAUGUGCCGCUAAAACGUACAAUUUUCCCUUUGAAAUGAAACCGAUGGUGGUUUUAUUGAUGAUGAGAAGUAAUAUAGUUUGCAGACUCUCAGCUGGAAAACUUUUUUUCAUGACUCUGGAAAAUUUUGCUAAUGUCAUGAAGACAUCCUUCUCAUAUUGUACAAUCCUUUUGUCACUGCAAUAAUCCAUUGAUAAUUAUAGUAACAAUAGCUGUCACUACUCUUAAUUAAUAGUAUUCAAAAUAGAUAUAUUCUUGUAAGCGCACAAAUUAAAUAUAACCGG